GGUUAGAAUGAGUGAGGG
rnacentral:misc_RNA from 1 species